CUGAGAGGCACAGGCUGACGGAGGAAAAGCGAGCGAGCGCGCUGCCGCUGUUGCUACUGCAGGAGCUUGCGCUGCCUUGUGCGGUAACGACGGUGCUGGUGGCGGCGGCUCUUGCUGGAACCUUAUGGUGCAUUACAGCCCAGGCUCCUCCCAUACAGUUCGGCUUUGGCCAACCGCGGCGGCGGCCUGGGGACUCUCCCCCAGCAGCGGGAGCAGCUCUUCUGCUGCAGUGGAGCUUCCGAGGACCACCCCUGGAGGGACAAACUUGAAGGAACGGCGAGGAAAGGACGGCCAGAGGCGCCCGCGGGGCAAGGGCGAGAGCGCCGGGGCAGAGCCGAGUGAGGCGGGCCCGCUCCAGUCCAGUCCAGGGGCGGCUGGGGCCCGAGUGACCACGCGCGCGCAGAGAGAGCAGCAGCUCUCCUGGACAGAAGCGGAACUCACGUGGAAGGGUGGCAGCAGGGGACGGGCGGCGGGGCCGUCAUCUGAAGGGAGUCUCCCGGCUCGUGGCUGAGGAGCAAGGGAGGGGCCAUUCUCUGAAGCGCCAAAGGGAGAACAGCAGCAGCAGCAGCAGCAGCGGGGAGGACUCCGGAACCUUGAGCAAAGAGGCAGUUCAGUAUGCAGCUUCGUCUGUCAGAAACGUGUCUUCCUGGCGUGGGAAAGGCUAUACUUCUGCAUCCUUGGCUAUUUGGAAGGGUUCGACAGUUCUGUCCGAGGAACCUUAAGGAAAAUAAGGUGUUCUUUCUAUAACUGUAUUUUAAGAACGCUACAGAAGCUUAGAGGCUUCUCUCUCUCUCUCUUUCUCUCUCUCUCUCUCUCUCUCACACACACACACAGCGUCGUCCCACUGCCUGUCCCCACCAGUGGACUACCUUGAAGUCCAAGUCCUACAGAUUACUUCCUGGAAGACUGCAAAGUGCGGGGAGGGGCUCUCGACUUUCCACCUGGGUUGCAUUUUUUUAAAAAUAAGCAUAAAGAUCAGAGGUAGGAAAAUGGGGAUCACACUAGGAUCUCCUACCUAAACCAGGCUGGUCCUGCUACAAUAGCUUGGAGCUCCCCAAUGGGAAAGUAUAGUAUUCUGGGCCCACGUUGUUUUGUUGUAGUGAGCAAAGGUAGACCUUUUUCCUGUUUCCUAUGAGUUGGUGGUGAACAAUAGGGUUUCUGAAUAGUCACUAAUGGGCCAUCAAACUAGAAUUAAACUAAAACCCCAAAGCCAGGGGUAUAAACUUGGGGGCAGUGGGGCUCAAGCCUCCUCUGGGAUUUCCCAGAGGGGGCAAUGCCCUCACCGGGCUGCCAGGUUGGGGCAGCGAGGCUCAGGUUCCCCUCCGGAUUUCCUGGGGGAGGCAAUGCUCUGCCCCUGCUGCCAGGUACCAUCAGCAAGCUCUCAAGUUCAAUAGUCAGUUGAACAAUACUGACUGUUAUCCUGUGUUGUCUUUAUAGCAACUCAGCCCGUUCUUAGGAGGCAAGGCUGCCUCUCUGGGCUCUUUGACUCUAUGAUUCUCCGAUUUAGAAGUAGUAUAACAAGGAGAAAAGCUAAUGGUGCUGUAUGCAUGCAGGUGCUCUGCCCAGAGCAACCCCAUUCCCUAGGGGGAAUAUCUUACAGUACUCACAUAUAGUCUCCCAUUGAAAUGCAAACCAGGAUGGACCCUGCUUAGCAAAGGGGACAAUUCCUGCUUGCUACCACAAGAACUCUCCUCCUAUGUGCUCUGUGCUGCCCCCCCAGAAAUAGAGAAGUCUCAACCCCUGCUCCAAGCCACACCUGCCUGCAAAGGAAGGGCUUGCCCCAAUGGAAAACUACAGUAGAAAGAAGCCUGUUCUGGAGCAGACUAGAAAAUUUUGCUUUUAGGAAUUUGGGGAUGCCUGAAUGCAGUGCUCUUGCUUUAGGACAAGCUUUGCCUGUGCAUGUGCCUACCUGAUUCCCACCUAAUUUUCUUAUAUAUUACAAAACACCACUAUUUUCUAGUACUCUCUCCUCACAAGGAAACUAACCCUCAUCUGCAGGCUGGGACUUUUCAGUUAUGCCAAUCAAAUCUCUCUCCCCCCCGCCCCUCCUUUAUAUCAUGCCUGUAGAAUAGUUCUGGUCAACUCAAAAGCUUGCUUGCUCACUCACUUUAUUGUGAUGUUGUAGUUGAUCCUAGUAAAGGUAUUACACACUCAUUGCUUUGGUUUUUUUUUCUAAUUAACCAGCCCAGCUAUCUGCAAUAGCAGCCGUGGAACAUCCCAUCACACAAGAAGGCAGAGAAUGCGAAAUAAUCAGAUUUUCUGUUACCCUGUUUUGGGUCCCAUUUUUUGCUCCUACAUUUUAACAUUUUUCUCAGUGCUUAGGAAGCUGGAGUUUGCUGUUCUUAUUUCCCAGUGAUCGCAAGCUAAAAAAAAGUUCUUCGUUUAAGAUCAGAACAACAGUGUAGCAAUUGCAACUAGUAGCAUUGUGAAGUAUCAAGGUAUGCUGUGUCUAUCAGAGCAUUAAACACUGCACAUGAGACCAAGUCUGAAUUUCUAAGAUUGUGGUAUGUAUUGCAGAGCAGCAAUAAACAUUUGGGAAAGUGACAUUAUUGGAUUCAGUCAUAUUAGCCAUUAUUUAAAUUCCGAACUUGUUUUUAAAAAUGAACAAAUAAGAAUAAAGCAUGAGCAUUGUG